rnacentral:tRNA from 1 species
GGGGUUGUGACUCAGUGGUAGAGCGCUUGCCUAGCAUGUAUGAGGCACUGGGUUCGAUUCUCAGCUCCA